AUGUUUCUGCCUGCCUGUCAGUGCGAGUGUGUCUGUGUAGCUGUGUGCCUGUGUCUGUCAUUCUGUGUGUGUCUUUCUGUGUUGCUGUCGGUCUGUCUGUGUCUGUCUGUCUGUCUAUGUGUGUGUGUGUGUGUGUUUGUCUGCCUGUCUGUCUGUCUCUCUGUGUGUCUGUCUAAGUGUCUGUCUGUCUGUGUGUAUGUCUGUUUGUCUGUCAGUGUGUCUGUGUGUCUGUCUGUCUGUGUAGCUGUGUGUCUGUUUGUCUGUCUUUCUGUGUGUGUGUUUGUCUGUCUGUCUGUCUGUCUGUCUGUCUGUCUGUCUGUCUGUCUGUCUGUCUGUCUGUCUGUCUGCAUGUCUGUCUGUCUGCCAGUGUGUCUGUCUGCCUGUCUGUGUGUCUGUCUCUUUGUCUUAGUGUCUGUCUGUCUGUCUGUCUGUGUAGCUGUCUGCCUGUCUAUGUGUGUGUGUGUGUGUGUGUGUUUGUUUGUCAGUCUAUGUGUCUGUCUCUCUGUGUCUGUCUGUCUGUCUGUCUGUCUCACAGAGGACUCAGAGACACUGAGGAACCAUAGGACCAAAACCCAAACCCAGGAUACAGAGUGUCAGUGAAGGAGGUACAGACGGUGUGGAUGAGUGUCAGAGAGUCAGAGGAGACUUCAUAGAAGGACAGACGUCCAUCAGGACAGUCCACAUACACUCCUACUCUACCAGAGGAACCACAAGGACAGGAGGUACGUGUGUCUAUGUUAUUGUGUCUGAUGGAGUAAAAACCACUGUAACAGCUCAGACUCCAGGACUGAUUAUUAAAUCCAAACCAACAAUCAUUACUGUAUCCUUUCCUUCUGAUUCCUCUGUAACUCACUGCUAUAUAAACAUCUCCAUUCCUCUCCACCUCCCAGUAACAGCGACCAGUCAGACCAGUACUACACAGACCCUGAUAGUGAUCAAAUCUGUCCUGAUGAUCAGGAUAAAGCUCCUCCUCCUUCACACGUGUCACCAUCCUGUUGUUGUCAGACAGUCUGAGGUUUCUGUUGAUGGAGUUUGUGUCGAGGUGAAUGUGACAGAAAUCUGAUGAGACACAAAGAAACAACAGUUGAUCAUGUGAUGCUUCAUUCUCUCUGUAUCACUGACAUGUUCAUUCACUCAGAGCUUCAUGAGGACACUUUGAAUGAACACACACACACACUUACACUUCCUCACACCAGCUUUGAUCCUCUGCUCUCCUCCAUGGUCCGCCCUGCAGGAGCAAACACAGGCAGUGAUUUACACACCUAAAGAGUCCAAAGUGCUGCUCAGAAACCUGAUGCCAUCUCCAUCAAGCUCUCCAUGUUUCUACUGGUUUGUCUUCAACAGCUUCACCUUCUUCAUCUCCUUCAAAGUGUUCCUCUCUUCAUCCUCACUGAUUGGUUCCACCUCCUCUGAUCUUAACUAUACACUAUUAUAUAUAUGUAUAUAUACACUAUUUGGUCACCUAGGCUGAAAUCCAAUCAGAAUUCAUGUGAUCAUGUGAUCUAACGCAUU
rnacentral:lncRNA from 1 species